UGUCCCCUGCAGUGUUCGUCAGAUUCAUCAUUCUUUGAACCAAUGAGCUAACGCUUAGGUUGCGCCCCACUUUAACCACUGUUGUGAGUGUCCCUAGCGGAUGCACCUGAUGUGGCCGGGAACCGACCCACUUGAACCCAGGUUCAAGAUAUUGAGUCAACGGCACAGGCGGGGGACUU
rnacentral:other from 1 species